CCUACGGGCGGCAGCAGUGAGGAAUAUUGGUCAAUGGCCGAGAGGCUGAACCAGCCAAGUCGCGUGAGGGAAGACGGCCCUACGGGUUGUAAACCUCUUUUGUCGGGGAGCAAAGCGAGUCACGUGUGACUCAUUGAGAGUACCCGAAGAAAAAGCAUCGGCUAACUCCGUGCCAGCAGCCGCGGUAAUACGGAGGAUGCGAGCGUUAUCCGGAUUUAUUGGGUUUAAAGGGUGCGCAGGCGGAGGUGCAAGUCAGCGGUCAAAUUGCGGGGCUCAACCCCGUACCGCCGUUGAAACUGCAGCCCUUGAGUGCGCGAGAAGUAUGCGGAAGGCGUGGUGUAGCGGUGAAAUGCAUAGAUAUCACGCAGAACUCCGAUUGCGAAGGCAGCAUACCGGCGCGCAACUGACGCUCAUGCACGAAAGCGUGGGUAUCGAACAGGAUUAGAUACCCCAGUAGUC
rnacentral:rRNA from 1 species